CCCAUCACGAAGGGCCCAAAGUUCAGCAAUCAUGUUAGAGGAGGAGCCAAGAAAACGAUGACAGCUUGCUACCCAAGAGCCUUUUGAAUCCCGGAUAAUCGCUCCCGCUCCGGCUAAACCCGGAUUGCCAAUGGACGAUCCGUCACAAUUUACUUUAACCCAUCCUUUAUCAGGCGGAUACCAUUUGAUACUUAUGAAGUUUGGGAGUUUAUAGUAUUUGAUGCGACUUGAAGUUGCAAAGAACUCAGUUGCACUUGCAGUUGAGAGAUGAGUCAACGAGCUAAGAUUAUAGGCUUUUCCAAAUUUGUUUGCAUUCCUAGCAAGCCAAAGAUUUCGAAGGAAGUAAAUGAAAACCAAAUACCAUAGCGAAAGCUUCGAAUAAAGGCAUUUUGAGGUGAAGUUUGCAUGCAGCCAAAUAGAAAAGGGAUCAUGAAAUGUGUAGAAAUAGUUUAGUUGUUGUAAAUAUGGUUAGUUGUUUAGAAAGUUAGUUUAGUUUAGUAAACUUUGUAUAUAAACAAAGCUAUAAAUUUAUUCAGUAUGGCAUGAGAAAUGAAUCAUUUCAGUUCUCGUUUCUUGAUUGUUUUCAUAUUAGUUUCCUUUGUGCAUCUUCCGGCUGCCAUCGAUAUACUUCCGGUCACCAUCAAUAUGGCAUCAACACGGUGGUGGGCACAACAAUCAACUGUUAGCAGAUUCAAUAUUGGGAUUUUCUUCUUUGUUUUCAGUUUCGACAUUUUUCAUUUGCUUUCUACUUCAGUUUUUUGGGGGUUUUCUUCUCUUAUUCUUUCAUUCCAGUUUUCUCUGGUUCUUUUAGAUCUCUUUGUUGUUGUUUUCGACUUUUUCUCUUGUUUCUUUGGAAACUUUUCUGGGUUCUAUUUUGCAAUGACAGUUGCAGAUCUUACGAUUGAUUUCAAUAAUCCAAUUUAUCUUCAUCAUUCAGACACACCAGGUGUUCAAUUGGUUUCUAAUCCCUUGACCGGUCAUGAGAAUUAUGCUGUUUGGAGUCGUUCCAUGCGAAUUGCGUUGUUAGCCAAGAACAAGCUUGGCUUUAUUGAUGAAUCUUGCAUAAGAGAAUCUGUAUCACCGACCUUGCAGUCACAAUGGGAUCGUUGUAAUGCAAUAGUUCUAUCAUGGAUUUUGAAUAGUGUUAGCCCAGAUUUAUCGGCUGGGAUUGUAUUUGCCACUAAUGCGGCUCAGGUAUGGAAAGAUUUGAAGGAACGUUAUGAAAAAGUUGAUGGAACUAGAGUUUUUUUCCUUCAUCAACAAAUCAAUUCUCAUGUUCAAGGUACCGAUUCUAUUUCAGUAUUCUUUACACGGUUGAAAUUACUUUAGGAUGAGUAUGAUGCGCUUGUAUCGGUUUCUUCGUGUGGUUGUGAGAUGUCUCAAAAAUAUUUGGAGCAUGUUCAACAACAAAAAUUAUUUCAGUUUUUAAUGGGUCUCAAUGAUUCUUACGUUGCCAUUCGUAGUUAAAUCUUGAUUAUGCAACCUCUUCCCUCGGUAAAUCUUGCAUAUUCUAUGUUAGUUCAAGAAGAAUCUCAGGGACUGCAUACUUUCGUUGUUUCUCUUAAUGAUCCUACAACUUUGUAUUUGUCUAAUGUGCAAACUCGAAAGAAAUGGUUCAAUGGGGUUUGUGACUAUUGCAAAGUGAAAGGGCGUAAACGAGAGUCUUGCUACAAGCUAAUUGGCUUUCCUCCAAAUUUUAAGUUUUCCAAGUGUAAAUCAACUGGUUCGAUUGCUAAUCAAGUUGGGUCAACUGAGUUGCCUUCUGGUUCUUCUUCCACAUCUAUAUUUGCUUCUCUUCAUUUGGCGCCACUAUUCACUUCAGAGCAAUAUCAACAGAUAUUGACUUUGUUAAACAAUGAUUCUAAGGUAAUAGUUUCGGGUGAAGGAGCUGCACAUAUGGCAGGACCUGUGUAGUGGACAAGUGAAGGCGAUUGGUAAGAACAACAAGGUCUCUACAGCCUUGUGUCACCAUCCUCUCCUCAUCAGUCAACUUGUUUUACUCCACCUUUUAUUGCUUCUCUAGCUAAACAAAAUUCGUCAUUCCUUUGGCAUGCUCGUCUUGGGCAUGUUUCUCUUUCUAAACUCAAUAAAUUAGAUUGUUUACCAUGUAAAAAUUUGAAUACUACUUCUACUUCUCAUUGUCAUGUAUGUCCUUUGGCUAAACAAACAAGACUUCUGUUUUCUGCUA